GCACAAUUCUAUAUAAGCAGGCUCCGAAACUUGCCCCCUUCUUUUCAGCAGCGGUUGCCGGUGGUGCUGGGAGGCCUGGCCUCAGUCUCUUUAAGCCAGAAUGCCCGUUGCCAGAAGUUGGGUUUGUCGGAAGACAUAUGUCACUCCUAGGCGACCCUUUGAGAAAUCACGGCUUGACCAGGAGUUGAAGCUCAUUGGUGAAUAUGGACUGCGGAACAAGCGUGAAGUGUGGCGAGUGAAGUUCACCUUGGCCAAGAUCCGCAAAGCUGCCCGAGAGCUGCUCACCCUGGAUGAGAAGGAUCAGAGGCGCCUUUUUGAGGGCAAUGCCUUGCUACGUCGUCUCGUCAGAAUUGGGGUGCUGGAUGAGGGCAAGAUGAAACUGGAUUACAUCCUGGGCCUGAAAAUCGAGGAUUUCCUGGAACGGCGACUCCAAACCCAGGUCUUCAAACUGGGCCUGGCCAAAUCCAUUCAUCAUGCCCGGGUGCUUAUCCGCCAAAGACACAUCCGCCUGUGUGAGAAUGGCCACAGCACCGGCCCAGCUUGUGUGCCUUUUAGUCCCAGCAAGCUCCUUCCUUGACCAGGACCCUGGAUAGCCUAAUGGCCCACUAACUCAACCGAUGAGCCUGUGUGCAAAAAAACAAAAAAGUUUUCGGUAAGGCUCACUGCGGUUCCGCCGUACACCUUGCGAAGCUCUUGGCACUCAGGCCAGAGAGGCAACGACUAGCCAGCUGCCAUCUUUUGCAUCACAAAGCACUUCAGUGCCGGCAAGUGGUGUAAGGAAGCAGGUGGUGAACAUCCCUUCAUUCAUUGUCCGCCUGGAUUCUCAGAAGCACAUUGACUUCUCCCUCCG